UCUCUGGUGUUUCUAAACACCAUCUACAUUUAACACAGAAAGUAU
rfam:Ipomoea nil DNA, scaffold: scaffold1416, cultivar: Tokyo-kokei standard.